rnacentral:tRNA from 1 species
GUGUGAGUGGCUCAGGGAUUAAAGCACUUGACUUGCAAUCUACAGGUCCUGGGUUCGAAUCCCGCCAUGUACC